UUGCUUUGGUAGCACAUAUACUAAAACUGGAACAAUAAAGACACGAAUAUGGCCCCUGUGCAAGGAUGACAUGCAAAUUUGUGAAAUGUUUCAUAUUUUU
ensembl:snRNA U6 U6 spliceosomal RNA